rnacentral:tRNA from 1 species
CCGACCUUAGCUCAGUUGGUAGAGCGGAGGACUGUAGUUUGAAAGCUGAAAUCCUUAGGUCGCUGGUUCGAAUCCGGCAGGUCGGA